CGGAAACACAGAGGGGUCUUCUCUCGCCCUGCAUAUAAUUAGCCUGCACACAAAGGGAGCAGCUGAAUGGAGGUUGUCACUCUCUGGAAAAGGAUUUCUGACCGAGCGCUUCCAAUGGACAUUCUCCAGUCUCUCUGGAAAGAUUCUCGCUAAUGGAUUUCCUGCUGCUCGGUCUCUGUCUAUACUGGCUGCUGAGGAGGCCCUCGGGGGUGGUCUUGUGUCUGCUGGGGGCCUGCUUUCAGAUGCUGCCCGCCGCCCCCAGCGGGUGCCCGCAGCUGUGCCGGUGCGAGGGGCGGCUGCUGUACUGCGAGGCGCUCAACCUCACCGAGGCGCCCCACAACCUGUCCGGCCUGCUGGGCUUGUCCCUGCGCUACAACAGCCUCUCGGAGCUGCGCGCCGGCCAGUUCACGGGGUUAAUGCAGCUCACGUGGCUCUAUCUGGAUCACAAUCACAUCUGCUCGGUGCAGGGGGACGCCUUUCAGAAACUGCGCCGAGUUAAGGAACUCACGCUGAGUUCCAACCAGAUCACCCAACUGGCCAACACCACCUUCCGGCCCAUGCCCAACCUGCGCAGCGUGGACCUCUCCUACAACAAGCUGCAGGCGCUCGCGCCCGACCUCUUCCACGGGCUGCGGAAGCUCACCACGCUGCACAUGCGGGCCAACGCCAUCCAGUUUGUGCCGGUGCGCAUCUUCCAGGACUGCCGCAGCCUCAAGUUUCUCGACAUAGGAUACAAUCAGCUCAAGAGUCUGGCGCGCAACUCUUUCGCCGGCUUGUUCAAGCUCACCGAGCUACACCUGGAGCACAACGACUUGGUCAAGGUGAACUUCGCCCACUUCCCGCGCCUCAUCUCCCUGCACUCGCUAUGUCUGCGGAGGAACAAGGUGGCCAUUGUGGUCAGCUCACUGGACUGGGUUUGGAACCUGGAGAAAAUGGACUUGUCCGGCAACGAGAUCGAGUACAUGGAGCCCCAUGUGUUCGAGACCGUGCCGCACCUGCAGUCCCUGCAGCUGGACUCCAACCGCCUCACCUAUAUCGAACCCCGGAUUCUCAACUCAUGGAAGUCUCUGACGAGCAUCACCCUGGCCGGGAACCUGUGGGACUGCGGGCGCAACGUGUGUGCCCUGGCCUCGUGGCUCAACAACUUCCAGGGACGCUACGAUGGCAACUUGCAGUGCGCCAGCCCGGAGUACGCACAGGGCGAGGACGUCCUGGACGCUGUUUACGCCUUCCACCUGUGCGAGGAUGGGGCCGAGCCCACAAGCGGCCACCUGCUCUCCGCUGUCACCAACCGCAGUGACCUGGGGCCCCCUGCCAGCUCGGCCACCACGCUGUCAGACGGCGGGGAGGGGCAGGACGACGGCACUCUCGAGCCUGCCACCGUGGCUCUCCCCGGCGAGCACGCCGAGAAUGCCGUGCAAAUCCACAAGGUGGUCACAGGCACCAUGGCACUCAUCUUCUCCUUCCUCAUCGUGGUCCUGGUGCUGUACGUGUCCUGGAAGUGUUUCCCAGCCAGCCUCAGGCAGCUCAGACAGUGCUUUGUCACGCAGCGCAGAAAGCAAAAGCAGAAACAGACCAUGCAUCAGAUGGCUGCCAUGUCUGCCCAGGAAUACUACGUUGACUACAAACCGAACCACAUUGAGGGAGCCCUGGUGAUCAUCAACGAGUAUGGCUCGUGUACCUGCCACCAGCAACCCGCAAGGGAAUGCGAGGUGUGAUUGUCCCAGUGGCUUUCAACCCAUGCGCUACCAAAUAUGCCUGGGCAGCCGGGACGGGCCGGCAGGCACCAGGCUGGGGUCUUCUUGUCUGUGCUCUGAAAUGCUCCUUGACUGAAACUUUAAGGGGAUCUCUCCCAGAGACUUGACAUUUUAGCUUUAUUGUGUCUUAAAAACAAACAACAAAAAAAAACGAAAUAAAACAUCACAAAACCCCACCCCACAACCUUCAGGACAGUCUAUCUUAAAUUUCAUAUGAGAACUCCUUCCUCCCUUUGAAGAUCUGUCCAUAUUCAGGAAUCUGAGAGUGUAAAAAGUUCUGUCAACAGAUUCAAUCCCCCAUCCUCUCUCUCUUUGAGCAUACCUCUCCUCCGCAGCAUACACCUGCUAGACCUUCUGAGAGCUUAAAUAGAGACUUCUGGAAGAUGUGGGAGCGGAAGUCCACCUCUGUUUAAUGACAGCCACUGAUCGCAUCGCAUCACUGCCAUCAAAAGCACACGUGUGGCUUUUCUGAGCCCUCAUGCAGAGCCUGCCACCGUGGUCCCGCAUCUGUCGGCCCACGAGAAACAGCGUUCUCGGACCUCCCAGCAAAGCAGCCCUGAACUGCAGCAAAACCCAGCAACACACUCAGCAGCAAGCAGCCAGCGGUUUAUCCAGGGCCACCAACCCCAAAGAGCUGGGAUGAAAGCAGAUGUGAGAGAGGGAAAGGAUCUGUUUUUGUUUUAUUUUCUACCAGGCCCAGCUCUUUGGGAAAUAAAAAAGAAGAAGAAGAAUCAUCGAGCUCCAAGCUGGUGCCCUGCCAAGCUUCCUCCCCUCCCUUCCUAGUCCAAGCACUCCACCGUCUGUGCAGACUGCAUAACAGCAAUUUCUGGAAGCAGGCUGAAGAAUCUGGGCCAGUCCAGAGGCAGUGCAUUCUCGGUAUCUGUGUGGUGGGGUUUUAGGGAUUUUAUUUUUCACCUUAAUUCUUUUAGCAACUGCCAGCUCUUUGAAGCACAUCUGUUAUCAACAGCUUCUGUUUGUAAAAUGAGACUGAAGGUAUCCUCUCCAGAGAAAUUCCUGAAUCUUCUCUGUAGUUCAAUACUUCCACUGACAGUUUGGCUCACAAAGUACGACUGUGGUAAAUAUUAAAGAAUGUUAAUACAAAUGAGAUAAAAAACACCUAGGGAUCUUUUUUUUUUUUUUCUUUCCUCCCAAAUUCUGCUUUGCUCACUACUAAAGUUAAUCUUGACAGAAAAUUUACUUCUCUGAUCCACAUCAUUUCCCAAAGCAAUUUUCCAACAGCAAACAUAAAUUUCUGGUGAUCGCUAAGAGGUUUGCAAUCCCUGUGCUAAGGACGCCAUGGGGUUUCAACUGUUUGUCUUACCUUCAGGUAAAUGUCCUUCACUCAGGACACUAUCACUAGAGGACCCUGGGCAGCAACUAGGGGCAAAGGCCUGAAAAGGAGUUUGUGGGGUUUCCAAAAGGACUGGGGUUGGCAGGGUAAGAUGGUUUGAGUAUCAAGAUUGAAUCUUGAGAAGGUAAUUAAGUCAUUAACUAAGAAAAUAACUGCCUAAGCCCACAUAUCUGUGCUCUCAAAUGGGAUGAGGCACUAAGCAAAUGCAAUACCUUUAUAUUGUGCUGAACUUUGAGCUGGUUAACACAGAUUACAUUUAUACCUUGUCAAAGGUGGGAGUUAAGCACAUAUCAUGAGAUAAAAUUUGUGUUCUUCUCUCUGUUGUGUUUGGUUUGUCCUCAGCCUUUAGGGUGCUAGGGAAUAAUAAACGAAUGGACUUUGGGAUAAAAUAGACCUGGAUAUGAGUCCCAGUUCAGCCACACACAAGCUGUGUCAUGUGGGGCAAGGGAUCAGUCUCUAUUAGUCUAGAGAUGGUUUGAAAUUUCUACCUUGAAGGUGUUGGGAGGAUUGAUAUUGAUGUCUGUGACACAUUUUGCACCUGCUGGGCACAUAGUGUUCAAUAAGUAUCAUUAGUAUCAUCGUCCUCAUAUUAUUUCUAAUACCAAACACAUCUAUUACCAAUAGAGUACAUUUUGACUGGAAAGAGGGAAUCUCCUUUACAAGGCUAUUUGCGAUAGAAUGAAAUUCAGUCUAUGGAUCUCCUUAUAUGGAGUCACAUAAAAUAAUUUAUGUGACAGCACUUUAUAAGCCGUAAAGUUUGCUGAAAACAUAAGGCAUUGUUAGGGGUCUUUUCUGAUGUAUCCAAACUCACCCAAAGAUGCUGAAGUCAUUUCUGUCACUCUCACUUUGCCCAUGCUUUCUCUGUAUUCUCCCUUUCUUUCUACUCAUUCAAAUUUUCAUGACAGAAACUCAGGUUCAAGUUCUAAAUAUAUGUAUUAAGCCAUUCCCGACACCUCCAGCUCAUCGUGGUCCUUCCUCUUACCAUCAGAAGGUGUUAGAAAAGUCAUUGUCCUUAGCACCCAUGUUUGUCAGUCUGGCUGCCCCAGGACAUUUGUUGGCAUUGUCUAGAUUCUUAAUUUACUUAUGUACCAUGCAUAUAUAUUUUGAAUUAUAUAUUAUUCAUGGCCAGGGCCAACUCAUUGUGUCAAUUCAAUUCAGUUAUUUUCUAGGAACCAUAGGUAAAACAAAGAGAGCAAGACAUGGCCCUACUCUCAAUAAAAUGGGUACAGUGUCCAUAUACAUGCUGACAACCACAGACAAAAUAGGAUGCAUACUAUAACACAGGUGUAGCAAAGUCUUCAGAUGAUACAACAAAAGGAAUGGGUUUUCUCCAUUCAGGGAAUGGGUGGGAGGUUGCUGAGGGCUUGAUGAAGAAGGUGGAUUAUGCACAAGGUCUAAAUGCGUGGGUGGGAUAGGACAGGGAGAAUGGAAGGAAGAGUCUCCCAAUAGAACAAUGCAUGAUGUACAUCGUAUAAUAGCAUGGAGGCAGGCAAGUGAAUGGAGUAUGGGCCAAGUGCACUGGUGAGGUUCUCAACAGCAUGUGCUGAUUUGAUUUUUCAUAAGUAGGUACUUAAUCAGCAAGACAGUGGAGGAUCUAAUUUUGUUCCAUUUCAAUAUGGAAUGUAUCCUACCUGUAACAACACAAGUUGGUAAGAAAACACUAACCACUCCUGUAUCUUCCCCCUUCACUCAUCGUUAAAAGGAGACUAGAGGCCAGAGUAGUGUUUCCUAAGGUGCCCUGAGGGGAAAGUCAUUUCACAGGGAAAGGAACAGAAGGGAGUACUUAAAGGGGGAUGCCAGACAUCAGAGCAAAAAGAGGUUUAAAGAACAUCUUCUGAGAUUGGAAGGAUAAUGUGGUUACAGCAGGCAGCGAUGUGGGGAGGUGUCAGGAUUCUGUGAAAAGUGGUUAUGAGAGGCUCCAAAGGAGGCUGGGUCAUGGGCACCAGUGGGUCCAGCCUCAGAAAAGACUCCGGUGACCAAGCAUGGCAAGAGGCAGCAGUCUGCCUGCCUUUGAGGACCACACAGACACACUCUAUGAGUAGGUGAGUGGAGGUCACGUGGCCUGAAGAUCAGAGCACCAUUCCUGAGAGUUCUGGACCAUUGCACACUCAAGAGGGGGGUUGGCAUAGUAAGAGGAUCUUUAUAAUGAUUGACAGUCAAUUUGCCUGGGAUGUGGGAGGGAGCACUUCUAGCGGAUUAGAUGCAAUUUUGAAAAGAAAAAAGAGGCAAACAAAAUAUUUUUACCUUUGUUGUAAAGUAAAUUUUAUAGCCAUGACACUGAGCAUUAUCACACAAGCCAUGCCUAUCUAACACCAUUCAAACAGUGGUGGCUGAAAUGUUACCGGCAUUCUUUAC